CGAACGGGUGAGUAACACGUGAGGAACCUGCCCCGAAGACCGGGAUAACCCUCCGAAAGGAGAGCUAAUACCGGAUGUCCCCACCGAAUCGCAUGGUUUGGUGAGGAAAUGGAUUCCGCUUCGGGAGGGUCUCGCGGCCUAUCAGCUAGUUGGUGAGGUAACGGCCCACCAAGGCAUCGACGGGUAGCUGGUCUGAGAGGACGAUCAGCCACACUGGGACUGAGACACGGCCCAG
rnacentral:rRNA from 1 species